rnacentral:rRNA from 1 species
AUUGAACGCUAGCGGGAUGCUUUACACAUGCAAGUCGAACGAGUGGCGGACGGGUGAGUAACAUAUAGGAACGUGCCCAGUAACGGGGGAUAACUAAUCGAAAGAGUGGGUUAUACCCCAUACUAUUGGAGCGGCCGAUACCGGAUUAGCUAGUUGGUGUGGUAAAGGCUCACCAAGGCAACGAACCGUAGCUGGUUUGAGAGGAAGACCAGCCACACUGGGACUGAGACACGGCCCAGACUCCUACGGGAGGCAGCAGUGGGGAAUUUUGGACAAUGGGGGAAACCCUGAUCCAGCCAUCCCGCGUGUAUGAGAAGGCCUUCGGGUUGUAAAGUACUUUUGGCAGAGAAGCGGUAUCUGCAGAAUAAGCACCGGCUAACUACGUGCCAGCCGCCGCGGUAAUUC